AUGACAAUUAACAAGGCGCAGGGUCAGACCAUCCCAAACGUCGGUAUCUACCUUCCCGAGCCAGUAUUCUCACAUGGCCAGCUCUAUGUUGCAUUCUCAAGGGGAGUGUCGAGAGAGACAACACGGAUUUUGGCCAAGCCAAACCAGGAGAUUGAUAAAUCCGGGAAAAGUACGAAAAACAUUGUCUAUAGAGAUUUUUUGGACAGAUGA
rnacentral:rRNA from 1 species